GACGAACGCUGGCGGCGUGCUUAACACAUGCAAGUCGAACGGAGUUCAUCGCCGUAGCUUGCUACAUUGAUGAACUUAGUGGCGAACGGGUGAGUAACACGUGGGUAACCUGCCCCGGAAACCGGGAUAACAGGAGGAAACUCCUGCUAAUACCGGAUAUCCUACCUUUCCCAAAAGGCAUCGGUAGAAAAGGGUUGAGAAAUCUUCCGUUCUGGGAUGGGCCCGCGCCCCAUUAGCUUGUUGGUGAGGUAAAAGCUCACCAAGGCAACGAUGGGUAGCCGGCCUGAGAGGGUGUACGGCCACACUGGGACUGAGAUACGGCCCAGACUCCUACGGGAGGCAG
rnacentral:rRNA from 1 species